GCGCAUGUGCGUGCGCACACACUGAGGAAUUGUGACGUCUCCAAACAGCAAGAGGUUAUGGAGAUUUCAUCUGCAGAGGGGGAGGAAUUCUUUACUUCGAAUGAGAUCAGGGUGAUGUGUAAAAUGCAGGAUCCAUGCAAAAUUUUGUAGAAAAGUGCCACCGGAUAAGGCUGUAGCAGUGGGAGUGAUGAAUCUGUUUAACGACAAUACAAUGUCAAAUUUCUGUGAAAUCCUCAAAAGGAGGCAAAAGCAUCAUUAAAGUUGCAUGAAAAGAAAGAGAUUCCAUUGAGCCAGUAGAUAGCAGUGAUUCCAUUAGUGAUCGUGAAAGUCAUCUACACAACGAUCUCUCGUCUCCCUCACACCAGCUAUGAAGGUUUUCAAAGCUUACCUUGUCACCAGAACAUACCUAUGAGCUCCUUGUUGCGGACAUCUAGAGCCAUAUUCCUCAAGGCAGUUGCCACAGAAGAGACAACUCUAUCGUUAUCCAUCCUCAGAAGUUCAACAAGGAUGGGGAGCCCUUUUUCUUUUCGGACAGCUGCCCGGAUGUACGCUGCAAACUAGCAAGCAAAAUAAGGCAGUACCUGGGAUCGAACUUGGGACCUUGUGCUUGUAAAGCAGGCGGUGGAACCACUGAACUAAGUCCCCGGCCCCAGUACUGUCAUUUUAAAAGAAUCACCCAUGUUGUAGUUCAUAUCAAGAUUUCUAGACAGGAGACUUAAAACAUAGCUUAUUAGAGUGUUAUUUAAAUUGUUAAGCAUAUCAGAGGGUCUUCAUUUCUGUGUCAACUAUGAUAUGGGUUAAACUGUUAUAGCAUAUACAUUUUCAAAUAAUGUUCAUGUAGAAAUUAGAGAGUUAGAGGUUAACAUUUACCCUAAUGCUAUCUUCACACUGCUGUGUUUUCCUGAGUGAGAAGAAAGAGGUAGAGGGGAGAUGGUUCAGAUGCUUUUCUAAGCACUAAAGUUUCUCAGAGUUCCACAGUCCUGACAUAUCCUUGGCAAGCUGUUCAACUGCCUUUACUGUGCCUUCACAACUAUCAACACAAAUACGCUGCAGCCCUGUGGAGAGGAAGGAGCUGGAAAAUCUGCCAGCAUCUGUGGGAGCAUGAUAGGCUUGCCAACACGACUGAUCAAGAGCACUGGCUGGAGAUGAGACUUGUAAAUGGCAGCUCCAGAGUAGUGUGAGCCAUAGCGCCAACCUGGAAACUGCCUGCUCAGCCCUCUAUAGGCAUGUUGUAAAGAAGGAUCUACAAAAGGGCAGCAAGCAGCUUUUUCCUUUGGAGACAAAGGAGAGGUGAAAGCAAAUGGCUACAACUGAAGUGAGUAAAACAUCAUCCUGAUUGUACUUAGAGGAUCAGCCCUCCCUGUGUCUACCCACGUGUGGCAGAGGCAGUGGUCAGCAAGAAGGGCCAAUGCUUUGGCUCUGUUCUGGUCCUGGGUUGUCUUUUGCACCUGUGUCCACCCCUUUUCUCUUUCACUUAGCUUUGAUUUCUGACCUUGUUAAUGUGAUUCCCAUAUUGUCCUCUGCCCUAGGACUCUCCCCCUUCUCUCUCUUACACUACCACUGCAGCCUGUCAGAACCUCAGCCUCUGGAGUAGCAUAUAUGGUUAGGCCUGGACUGUUGUCUCUUAAAGAGUGGUGGGAACUGGACGGGAGUGGAAUUUAGUUCAGAAUCAGGACAAGACCUAAGAAUGAGAAACAAUUCAUUGGUCUGUCCUGGCCAAAUAACAGGAAAAGGGAGAGAAGGCAAAAGAGUGGGUCAAGGGAUAGAAGGAUGGGUGAUAGUUGCCAUCACAAAUGUGGCUUCAACAUUUUCUAGUAAUGAGGUCAGCCACACUCAACCUAGGGUACCAAUGGGGAUUGCCAAGUGGCAUCAGCCAGCCAGUGGCAGCAUGUGGCCCAUAAGCCAUGGAUAAGGAAAGUAUCAUUUCUUAACCUCCCCUGCUGACAAUUUUGUAACAUGAUUCCUAAUGCCACAGGUGCAAUUCUCUUUCUGUCAAAGCCUUUCAAACUCCUCACUUCACAAAAUUCAAUUCAUGGGAGUGGGACCUCCAUUUCAAUAAGCUACUUUCUGCUUCACAGAGUAAAUACAUUCCAGUAAACUGCAAGGCAAGGUUUAUGAAAAGUAAAAGCUAUCAUAUAAGAGGAUAUAAAUAUAAAAUUAGAUAAUAUAGUUGCUUUUUAGUAUUCAGAGGGGAUGCUUCUGGUUCCCUAUAGAUACCAAAAUGUGCAUAUUGCAGCCCCUUAUAUCAAAUGGCAUGUGUGGUAUUUGCAUAUAACCUACACAUUCUCUUAUAUACUUCAAGUCAACUCUAGAUUAUUUAUAAUACCCAAUACAAUGUAGAAACUCAAAACACUUGUUAUACCAUAUUUUUGUGCUUUUAUUUUUGUAUUGCAUUUCUUGUCUGCUUUCCUAAAUACAUUUUGAUGUGCAGCUGGCAGACUCUGCAGAUGCAGAAUCUGGACCUCUGAUUACAUAUCUUUAUAAAAAAGUUAAACCUGUGCUACAAACUUCAGGUUAAAUCAUGACUAGCGAGAAGGGUGGUUCUUCAGCAUCUUGAACCUUGUGGCUGAUGCUGAGAAUUUCUCUUACAGAUGACAGGAAAAUCUGUUAUUUGUUGUUCUUGUCUCUGACCCUGACUACUUCUGGCAAGAGGAUAUUUCCCACUCUUGAGGAUUGUGCUAGAAUUUUGCUUUUCUUUUUCUUUUUCCUUUUCUCAGGCAUUUAGAUUUAUGUCAUUCUAUAGUUUACUAUUAGCUAUUGUAUUUACUUGGGAUUGGACAUAGUAUAAACAUUCAUAAAUCAAUAUAAACAAAGGUCUUACCAUUUUUUGUGGGUUUAUUCUGUGUAAAGUACUUGUGUACUUCACAUAUGAUAUUUUAGAGUCUAGGUGUCCCAAAUGAAUCAACUUUCUCAUUUGAUUGUUUUAUAGUCUUCAAAUUCUACACGUUGAUUUUUUUAAAAGGAUGAAAAAUGCUUGUAUUUCUAAAUUUUAAUUUAAAUUUCAUUAAGCAAGUGUAAUGAGGAGCUACUGAAUACCAUCCAUUCAUUUAGGUUAUGCAAGUGACAUAGAAGCUGCUCAAAUAUAUUUGUUGGUGGAUUUACUUUAUAGUCUGUAUUUGAUUUUAAUUUUUCUUUUAUUUUCUGCCUGUUAGAUUUAGCUUAGAGCUACUACUUUCUCUUUGUGCCUUUUCUUAAAGCUGAGUAUGUGCAU